rnacentral:rRNA from 1 species
AACGUAGGGGACAAGCGUUAUCCGGAUUUACUGGGCGUAAAGCGCCCGUAGGCGGCCACCGCAAGUCGACUGUGAAAUCUCUGGGCUUAACCCAGAACGGUCAGCCGAUACUGCGGGGCUAGAGUGCAGAAGGGGCAACUGGAAUUCUCGGUGUAGCGGUGAAAUGCGUAGAUAUCGAGAGGAACACCUGCGGCGAAGGCGGGUUGCUGGGCUGACACUGACGCUGAGGCGCGAAAGCUAGGGGAGCGAACGGG